CUAAUACAUGCAAGUCGAGCGGACCGACGGGAGCUUGCUCCCUUAGGUCAGCGGCGGACGGGUGAGUAACACGUGGGUAACCUGCCUGUAAGACUGGGAUAACUCCGGGAAACCGGGGCUAAUACCGGAUGCUUGAUUGAACCGCAUGGUUCAAUCAUAAAAGGUGGCUUUUAGCUACCACUUACAGAUGGACCCGCGGCGCAAUAGCUAGUUGGUGAGGUAACGGCUCACCAAGGCGACGAUGCGUAGCCCACCUGAGAGGGUGAUCGGCCACACUGGGACUGAGACACGGCCCAGACUCCUACGGGAGGCAGCAGUAGGGAAUCUUCCGCAAUGGACGAAAGUCUGACGGAGCAACGCCGCGUGAGUGAUGAAGGUUUUCGGAUCGUAAAACUCUGUUGUUAGGGAAGAACAAGUACCGUUCGAAUAGGGCGGUACCUUGACGGUACCUAACCAGAAAGCCACGGCUAACUACGUGCCAGCAGCCGCGGUAAUACGUAGGUGGCAAGCGUUGUCCGGAAUUAUUGGGCGUAAAGCGCGCGCAGGCGGUUUCUUAAGUCUGAUGUGAAAGCCCCCGGCUCAACCGGGGAGGGUCAUUGGAAACUGGGGAACUUGAGUGCAGAAGAGGAGAGUGGAAUUCCACGUGUAGCGGUGAAAUGCGUAGGAACACCAGUGGCGAAGGCGACUCUCUGGUCUGUAACUGACGCUGAGGCGCGAAAGCGUGGGGAGCGAACAGGAUUAGAUACCCUGGUAGUCCACGCCGUAAACGAUGAGUGCUAAGUGUUAGAGGGUUUCCGCCCUUUAGUGCUGCAGCAAACGCAUUAAGCACUCCGCCUGGGGAGUACGGUCGCAAGACUGAAACUCAAAGGAAUUGACGGGGGCCCGCACAAGCGGUGGAGCAUGUGGUUUAAUUCGAAGCAACGCGAAGAACCUUACCAGGUCUUGACAUCCUCUGACAACCCUAGAGAUAGGGCUUCCCCUUCGGGGGCA
rnacentral:rRNA from 1 species